AACGAACGCUGGCGGCAGGCCUAACACAUGCAAGUCGAGCGGGGGAGCAAUCCCUAGCGGCGGACGGGUUAGUAACGCGUGGGAACAUACCCUUUGGUACGGAAUAGCCUCGGGAAACUGAGAGUAAUACCGUAUGUGCCCUUCGGGGGAAAGAUUUAUCGCCAAAGGAUUGGCCCGCGUUGGAUUAGGUAGUUGGUGGGGUAAUGGCCUACCAAGCCUACGAUCCAUAGCUGGUCUGAGAGGAUGAUCAGCCACACUGGGACUGAGACACGGCCCAGACUCCUACGGGAGGCAGCAGUGGGGAAUAUUGGACAAUGGGCGAAAGCCUGAUCCAGCAAUGCCGCGUGAGUGAUGAAGGCCUUAGGGGUUGUAAAAGACUCUUUUACCCGUAGAUGAUAAUGACAGUAUCGGGAGAAUAAGCUCCGGCUAACUCCGUGCCAGCA
rnacentral:rRNA from 1 species